GUCCUGCUGAGCGGUUCGUCGAGGUCGUCCGCCGGUGGCAAUCGGCGGCGACCGGAGGAGGAGGGAGGCGGCGGCGAGCUUGCCGCCCGGCACCGGAGCGGGGGAAGGCGGCGGCCAGGACACUCGGGCCUUCUUCCAUUAUUCAUAUGCUGCUCCUCCUCCUGUGUCAGAUCACCUACACUGCUGCUCCAACAUGCUAUGUCGUAAUUAAUGAAUCAGAUAAACACAAAUGGGUGAAGCAAGCCAAUACUUCGCAUUAUAUCCGUGGAUGAUCCUUAUCUGAUCUUGGCUGGUACUAGUACACUACUCCCUCUGAUCCUAAAUUCUGACUCAAAUUUGCCUAAAUAUGGAUGCAUCUAUUCUUAAAAAACGUCUGUAUACAUGUAAUAUUUCGACAACACUAAAAUGAUUUCAGAUGAACAGAAAUGAAAAUAGUGCCGGCUCAUGCCCUGAUGCAGUUUGUGUCCUCUAGCCUUUGUCAACUGAUUGAGUUCAAUGAGCACCUGAGCAAACCUGCAGGCUUCAGCGCCAUCCAAGGAGUCCAUGUCCGUUCCUGCUGCUUGACACCACCGCCAAACGACUUCCUGAAGAUCAACAUUGCUGGGGCUAUUUUUUAAUCCACUGGUUGUGGAGGUUGGGGCUUUUGCAUCAGACUCCCAUGGUAUGAUACAAUCCAUGGGGUUGGGCUGUGACAAAUUCAGAACCUAGCGGCUGCCUUCAUGCAGAAUCUAUGGCCUGUGUCCAAGUUUUGGAGUUGACGUCAGCGGCAGGCAUGGGACAGGGACAGGAGAUCGUCGACACGGAUACCAUUGACCUGAUGCCUACCGUCUUUUCUUCAGAGAUGGACUUGGCGAUGAAUGCUAAUUUCUCCUGGAGGCAAAAGUUCACCCUGUUUACUAGUCUUACCGACUUCAAACUUGUCGAUCCUACUCGUGCUUGUAAUUCAGUUGCUCAUAGUCUAGCUAGCUAUGGUGCCUGUAUGGCCCCUGGUGGUGUUGCUGUGUGGCACGGCAAUGUAGCUUACUUUGUAUUCUCUCUGGUGGUCAGCAAUUUUAGCUGUACCAGCUGAUUAAUAAAGCUCAAGUUUUCUCUCA